rnacentral:rRNA from 1 species
UGGGCCUACGGGACGCAGCAGUGAGGAAUAUUGGUCAAUGGCCGAGAGGCUGAACCAGCCAAGUCGCGUGAGGGAAGACGGCCCUACGGGUUGUAAACCUCUUUUGUCGGGGAGCAAAGCGAGUCACGUGUGACUCAUUGAGGGUACCCGAAGAAAAAGCAUCGGCUAACUCCGUGCCAGCAGCCGCGGUAAUACGGAGGAUGCGAGCGUUAUCCGGAUUUAUUGGGUUUAAAGGGUGCGUAGGCGGAAUGCCAAGUCAGCGGUAAAAUCGCGGGGCUCAACCUCGCUCCGCCGUUGAAACUGGC